AAAGGAUUAGUUAAUUUAUAACAUUAGAAUGUCAAACUAAAAUAAUCAAUAAAAGAUAUCCUUUU
rnacentral:tRNA from 1 species